ACUGGCCAUACUGUUCUAGCUGUACCCAAAUCAUCUGAUCUCGGAAGCCAAGCAGAAUUAGGCUGCGUUAGUGCUUGGAUAAGACACAGCCUGGGAUUACCAGAUGCUGUAGGUU
rnacentral:rRNA from 1 species